UACGGAGGGUCCAAGCGUUAUCCGGAAUCAUUGGGUUUAAAGGGUGCGCAGGCGGUCAAUUAAGUCAGUGGUGAAAUCCCGUCGCUUAACGACGGAACUGCCAUUGAUACUGUUUGACUUGAAUUUAGUUGAAGUAGGCGGAAUGUGUAGUGUAGCGGUGAAAUGCUUAGAUAUUACACAGAACACCGAUCGCGAAGGCAGCUUACUAAGCUACGAUUGACGCUCAGGCACGAAAGCGUGGGGAGCGAACAGG
rnacentral:misc_RNA from 1 species